UCUUUCUCCCUUUUCUUGAAUCUUCCUUUACAUCUCUCAGUUUCCAAACUCAUUUUCGCCCACCCUACUUCUUUCCCGCGCCGUUUAUCUACGUUUCUUGGAUUUCAGUUCGCGUCUUGAAGCCUUCGCGUCUCGAACGUUGUUCUUCACGUUUUUUGCAUUUCAAACAAGACGUGGAGUUCUCGCGCAAGGAGCAUGGCAAAGGAGGAGGUUUAGGUUCGGUUUUGGUAGAGAGGAAACGCACGUUUCGGUGGCCAGGCGCGACCUCCAUCCUUACCGCGCGUGGUGGGUACCACGGCGGUGACGUCUUCACGGCGCGGGGAUGGGCUUCGCCAGAUAGGGGAGGUACAUGUUUCGACCAUGGUGUUUGUAUGCAAGACCAACAAUUGAUCACUGGAACAUUAUGAUGAUCGAGUUUAAUUAAGACAAUAAAGAUUUUUAUCUCAACAUGAAACUUUGCUCUGUUAUCUUCACAUGAAAGGCUUCAGAGGAAUGAAAGGAUUUACUUUUAGAACAUAUUUCAAUUACAAUAUAUAGGAUUCGUACGUACUUCGUUUCUUUGGUAGCACCUUGAAUAAUAUUAAAGUCAACAGUUCUAGACAGAUUUGUAUUAAUGUAAAGUUUCAAACUUACCCCUACUUAUGAUCUUGGUGUCAAAAGUUGCAUCCAUAAAGCUAUCUUCCCUUCUCUUUUACUUAAAUAUUUUUAAUUCAUUUUUUUAAUCUCUUAUUGAUUAGCUCCUUCAUCUUCUACCCAGAUUAAUUAUAUUAUUUUUGUAUGCAAGGGCUUUACAGGGAAACUAAAAUGAAGUUGGUGCAAGGUAACCAUUUGCUUUCAGGACGCAAAAGAUCAUUGUAGCUUUCUUUGAAGUCUGAACCUGAACGUAACCAUAACCCAACUAAAAGAAACAACUCCAAAUCCAUUUCAUCUCCACACAAAGGAAAGAGGUGGCGAGAAAGAGAAGAAAUUGAUCAUGGAACUUCUGCACAAAGAGUUGGAGGAGGAAAUAGCAAGGAUUCCCAAGGCUAAUCCAUACCCUUACACCACCGAUUAUCUUGUGGUCCAAAUUAAUUGGUUGAGCACGAUACCACGCCUUACGUAUCUUUUCAAUUUUUUUCUUGCAGUUUCCAUCAACCUUGUUUUCCUUCAUUCUCCUGUUGCUUUUUAGUGCUGGUUUGGUAUCAUUCUGAGAGCAGGAAGCACUUCAACCCCAAGUUUGAAAAAUGGACAACAUAUUUGGUAGUACUAACGUGUGGUAAUGGGCUACCAAGAGUUUCACUUCCCAAAAUGGCAAGUCUAUGAUUUAUUGCUAAUGAAUGCCACUUGGUAAAAUGGUAUAUGAUAGAGGAACCAUAUCAAAUGAUGAUGAAAAUGAAGAACAAGAAUGAUGAUGAAAAUGAAGAACAAGAAUGAUGAUGAAAAUGAAGAACAAGCAUGAUAAUUAUUAUUUAGAACAUUUUUUGAUUUUGAUUUGUUAUGUAAAAGAUGUUUAUUUUUAAUUUUUAGGAUUGAACAUAUAUUAAGUUAAAAAAUUAAUUGUAUUUAAAAUUUUAGAGUUUAUUUUAUAUUAUAAUAAUUACUUUUGGUUUUA